rnacentral:rRNA from 1 species
CCCUACGGGGUGCAGCAGGCGCGAAAACUUCACACUGUGCGAAAGCGCGAUGAGGGAAUCCCAAGUGUUUGCUCGUAAGAGUAAACUGUUUCUUUGUUUAAAACGCAGAGAGAGUAAGGGCUGGGUAAGACGGGUGCCAGCCGCCGCGGUAAUACCUGCAGCUCAAGUGGUGAUCAUUAUUAUUGGGCCUAAAACGUCCGUAGCCGGUUUAGUAAAUGCCUGGGUAAAUUGUGUAGCUUAACUAUACGACUUCCGGGUAGACUGCUAAACUUGAGACCGGGAGAGGCUAGAGGUACUCCUGGGGUAGAGGUGAAAUUCUGUAAUCCUAGGGGGACCACCAGUGGCGAAGGCGUCUAGCUAGAACGGGUCUGACGGUGAGGGACGAAGCCCUGGGGCACAAACCGGAUUAGAUACCCGGGUAGUCCAGGGUGUAAACGCUGCUUGCUUGAUGUUAGUUGGGCUCCGAGCCCAACUAGUGUCGGAGAGAAGUUGUUAAGCAAGCUGCCUGGGAAGUACGGUCGCAAGGCUGAAACUUAAAGGAAUUGGCGGGGGAGCAC